CCUACGGGAGGCAGCAGUAGGGAAUCUUUCACAAUGGGCGAAAGCCUGAUGGAGCAACGCCGCGUGCAGGAUGAAGGCCUUCGGGUUGUAAACUGCUUUUAUAAGCGAGAGAUAUGAUGGUAACUUAUGAAUAAGGAUCGGCUAACUACGUGCCAGCAGCCGCGGUCAUACGUAGGAUCCGAGCAUUAUCCGGAGUGACUGGGUGUAAAGAGUUGCGUAGGUGGCAUAAUAAGUAGCUAGUGAAAUCUGGUGGCUCAACCAUUCAGACUAUUAGCUAAACUGUUAAGCUCGAGACCGUUAGGGGUAACUGGAAUUUCUAGUGUAGGAGUGAAAUCCGUAGAUAUUAGAAGGAACACCAAUAGCGUAGGCAGGUUGCUGGGACGGUUCUGACACUAAGGCACGAAAGCGUAGGGAGCAAACAGGAUUAGAUACCCCAGUAGUC
rnacentral:rRNA from 1 species